rnacentral:lncRNA from 1 species
GAAUGGACACAGAUUCCUGCCCUCAAUGAGUUUAGAACUUUAUUAUUGUGCGAACCUAUCUCCUCUCAGAUUUGUUCAUCUUCCAGCUCCUACAUCUUGCCCAGAGGCCUACCGGGAGUAAGAAAUGGGUUACGUUCCCUGCCUUUUAAAGCACAGAGCCGCCUAGCCCUGAAUACCCUGCACCCCUGUCUUGCUGCACUAAACUCUAGUCUUUAGGGCUUUGUGAUACCACCCCCCUGACCAACUCUUGUUUCUCCAGCAGGGCAUCUGUAUUCUUCAUCCAUAUGAAGAAGCGAGGAAGUGUGAAGGUUAAUUUUCUUGAGCAGCCAUGCCAACGUUGUGCAGGCAUCACAGAGGGUUUGAGGAUUUAGAAAUCGUUGUAAGUCCAUGUUUAUUUUAAUCUAUAAUAGUCAGAGUUUUCAUUGGCUUUGAUUCUAAUUUAUUUAACCUUCAUCUUUCUAGAAUGAAUAAUCACUUUAAAAACCAUUUUCUACUGAAAAGAGGCACUGCAUGGCCCCUCUCCUCAGCUCUGCCUGGCUCCAUCAUUCCAGUUAUCUUUAAUUGUACCUUGCUCUCUGAUGUCUACUUGCAGUCUUAGGCCAGCUAACAAAUGUCACUGCUCUGGGCCAUUGAUCGAGAUUUAGGGGAAAAAUUAAAGGACAUGUGAAGAAAGAACCAGAUACAAGGAAGCAGGAAGUGCUCUCAACGCUGCAAGGUCACCGAUUCAGAAAGCAGAGGAUAGAAGUGGGGAAUGAAAAAAAGAAUGGCAUCCAGGAAAGAGAUUUUGGUGCCAACCACUGGACAUCUGUGUGUUCUUUGCUCUUUGUCUCUUUGGGGCAGCUGCUGGGGGUGGGUACAAGGUGUGCAGGGGCUUUGGGCUGUGUGCACAGACAUUUGUUGACAAUAGACCAGUUUCAGUUUGGUUUGAAACUAUUAAAAUUUUAUUUUUAUUGGUGUCUCAGAAAGGCAGUGAUUGUUCUGUUCCCCUGGCACAUCUAUCCCAGAGGCAGGUUGUAACUCGUCCUGUUUGCCCAAGCCUUAGUAGAGUCCCCAGGGAAGGGACAGUCAGAUGGUGUCAAUUUGAAAGCAAAUGUGUCUCCUGAUCAAAAGAAACCCACUGAGGUGGAGGCUUGUCACCUUCUUCCCCUCCAUCUUCCAGCUCUUGUGCUUGGCACCUUUUUUCCUGUGGACAGUCCGACCCAGCUGGAAAGCUCUGACUAUUUGUAGGCAGCUGGGAACACAGUUUUGUGUCAACAGGGAGGUUGGGGUUUAAUGGAGAAUGAUUCCUCAGGCUCCUGAGCAGUCUUUCACAAAUGGCAGCUCAAACGUUUCACCAGUGGAGAGUAGGGAGCACUUCUUGGUAUUUUUCAGACCCAAGCGCAGCCACUUAUUGGCUGCGUGACAGUGGGCAGGUGGCUUAACUUCUCUGAACCUCAGACUUCUCAUUUUGCUAUCA